UAAAUUGAAUGAACGAAUUCAAGGAGUUUACACCACACUUAACAUGACCAGGGCACAGUUGUGAUGGGUGAUUCAGCUGAUGGCUCCAAGCCUACCGCACUGCAAUGUGGCCAGACUGGCUGGAACGUGUGUGAUGAGUUAGCAGUCAGAACGCAGUCUCAUGCAUCCCUAAUGCUAUAUAUAAUGGGUACAUCUGAACUUAUUAAAGAGGGGCACUGCACCCACACAAGGUCCCCUGCCGUGAGGACUUUUGGCAGCAGUAGGAAGGCACAAAUCCGAGGGGUAACUGAUGAAAAUGACAAGAGAAUGCUGUAGAAGUGUAUAAAUUGUGUUUAUGGGAAGAAGCAAAAAGUCGCUGAUUUUCUGAAGGUCAGCCAUGGACAGACUUCUUGGCAAUGAUGAUCUUUAAUAUUUUAAUCCCGCCAUCUCAAUUUGAUUCUACGACUUGAAACAGGCUUCAUGGUGUUAACUAAAGAAAUUAAGAUUGGCAAGGUUAUUGAGACUUGAUUGCAAAAACCAGGCAGCAAGGUGGCUAGAAACUUUAACGUAUCUGGUCAGUCAGCAGUGAAAAAUGAUAACCCAUCUUUGAAGAUUUUGUUUUUUAUUCCUGGUAAUGCACCAAACCUUGCUAAUUCAAAACAGUCUUUCCUAAAAUUGGAGAAUUUCCCAAAUGUAAACUAUAUUUGUAAAUAUUAACUAAGGCAUACUUACACUACUUAGUUGAAUAAAGUAUGUUAAAUGAAAAAUAAUGUCACAACAGGGCAAAUUCAAUGUUUUCUCUAAACUUUAAAAUAUCAUUUACUUUUUAAAAUUUUGCUCAAAAUCAAUUACAUAUUUUGGGGGGUCUCUGGUUAGAAUGGUGUUUUGACUUCUGGCCCCUGACAUAAUUCAAAGGUAGAAUACUUUAAAAGAAUAAUCCUCCACAACCAAUUAUGGUUUGUGCCAAGAAUAAAAAGAUGUUUUUGUUUUAGAAAAUCUGUUAAUAUAUAAUACAUCACCUUUGCAGAUAAAUGAG